AUUGAACGCUGGCGGCAGGCCUAACACAUGCAAGUCGAGCGGAGCGGCGGACGGGUGAGUAAUGCCUAGGAAUCUGCCUGGUAGUGGGGGAUACCGUCCGGAACCGGGCCCUAUUACCCCAUCCUUUCAGAUGGGCCUAGGUCGGCUUAGCUUGUGGGUGGGGUAAAGGCCUACCAAGGCGACGAUCCGUAACUGGUCUGAGAGGAUGAUCAGUCACACUGGAACUGAGACACGGUCCAGACUCCUACGGGAGGCAGCAGUGGGGAAUAUUGGACAAUGGGCGAAAGCCUGAUCCAGCCAUGCCGCGUGUGUGAAGAAGGUCUUCGGAUUGUAAAGCACUUUAAGUUGGGAGGCGUUACCAACAGAAUAAGCACCGGCUAACUUCGUGCCAGCAGCCGCGGUAAUUC
rnacentral:rRNA from 1 species